AUAUGUAUAUGCAAAGUGAUAUUAUUUUUGUAGACAGGUGUGAGUGUGAAUGCAAGAAAUUAUUUUGUAGGAAAGUUUGAGUGUGAAUGCAAGAAAGUUGGAAAGUUAGUGUGAUUUUUUUCUUUCCCUAGCCAUACACGUAUUCCACCCAAAAGUCCUCUUCUCUUAUCUGUUUUUGCUGCCCCAAAAGUCUUCCCCUCAACUCAUUGUCUUGGCUGCACCAGACAGAAAUUCCAGCCCCUCUUUCCCUACUCUUUUCCUUGUUCUUUGUUUCUUUCUUCUUCCCUUCUUACAUGGCAGCCCUCCAUCUCUCACCAAAACAAAAUAUCCCUCUCUAAAGAAGAAAUUAAAGGGUUAAUACUAAAAUUUCAGCUACAAAUUUUUGGAGGUGUUACCAGUAUCCAGGUUUAAGCUCCUUCGACUGUAGGCUCUCGUUUCCUCUGCUUUCAGAUAAGGGAUAAGUUAUAUAGGCAUUUGGUAAGUCAUGAGGUUAUUUUAAAGUAUAUUAUGCAUUAAAAUGUUUUUGAUUAAAGAUAUGGCAUGUAAUCAUUAUUCUGACAAAGAUAUGUUCAUGAGCUUUCGAAAAACUUAUGUAUAUAAUUUAAGUAUAUUGAUGCUAUUAUUGAUUCCACGAACAUGAUGUUUAAAGAAAAGAAUGGAAAUGCUAUUAUUAUGAAAUGUUAUGCAAAAUUUCAGUAUGAUGUAAAGUAUGAAGUAUUUUUGGGUUAUGUCCUCUGGUGAUCUAAACUUGGCUAGUAGGGGUUAAUUACUGGCUUUCCAUAGAAAAAUGUUAUCUGUUUGGCCAUUUAAAGUAGAGGAAAUGGGGUUGCUUGUAACUCUAAUUUGAAUAAGGCUUUCUCCCCAAUGUGUAUGGACGGCGGGGAGGAACAAAACCUAGAGGGGAUGUGCCAUCAGGCCUCCCAAAGGGGACAAUAUCAUACACACAGGGGCAUCCAAAUGUGAUGAGGCCUUCUCUGUAUAGACUUAUCAGAUAUGGACUAACCAACAAGUUAUUUAUGAACAACUAUAUUAUGUUAUUAAUCAUGAGAGAAUGAUUUUAUUUAAAUGCAUUAUGAAAAGUUAAAAGCUCUCAUGAAAAGAAGUUUAUGAUGAAAAUAAAAGCUGUUCUUUAAAGAUAAGAGUUUCUGAAGUUCUGUUGUGCUAUAAAGAAAAAGUUUUUGAUAAAAGUACAAGUUUAUGUUUAAAAGUUAUCAGAUAUCUGUUUUUAUGAAACGUUAAGUUUUAUGAUCAUGAAAGUUAUAGUAUUCUAUGAGAAGAAGUUUAUAAGGAAAAGUUUUCUUAUUAGUCAAGAUGUUUCUAGUUUAAUACAAAGUUGCCAAUUAUUUGAUUUAAGUUAAAAUAAUUAUUUUGUAAUGAGAAUAUAUAUAUGGCGACUUUGUAGGAAAUGAAAGAAGUUUAAUCCGAAAGGUUUGGUAAUGUUAACCUAAUAAGAAAAGAAGAGCAAUUAUUUUUUAUGAAGAGCGUAUAAGUUAUUAUUAUGAAUAGUAUUAAAUACUAUGCAUGAAAAGAUGUUCUCCUAUUCGAAUAUUCAUAGAAUGAAAUGAUCUGAUUUACAUGUAUCCUUAUUGAAUUCUCAUAUAUCUUACCUUUACUGAGCUGUGUAGCGCACCUCUUUCACUCUUUCAGUUAGCAGGUUUUAUUUUGGAGCAGAGGGAGCCUUAGUCGAGUUUGGAAGGAGUUGGUUUUAGUUUUAUAUGUAUAGAUCCUAAGUUAGCAUUUUGAUGUUUAGCUUUAUAGUUAUUGUGUAUUCUAGGAUCAAAUGAAAGUUGUGUACCUUAAAGUAUUAAGAGAUGUAUUAUGUAAAAGUAUGAAAUUAAAUGACUGGUGGAUUAUGUUA